rnacentral:rRNA from 2 species
AACCCUGAGGCGUGAUGACGAUGCACUACGGUGCAGAAGUAGUUGAUGCCCUGCUUCCAGGAAAAUCCUCUAAGCUCCAGGUAACAUUAAAUCGUACCCCAAACCGACACAGGUGGUCAGGUAGAGAAUACCAAGGCGCUUGAGAGAACUCGGGUGAAGGAACUAGGCAAAAUGGUGCCGUAACUUCGGGAGAAGGCACGCUGGCAUGUAGGUGAAGUCCCUUGCGGAUGGAGCUGAAGCCAGUCGAAGAUACCAGCUGGCUGCAACUGUUUAAUAAAAACACAGCACUGUGCAAACACGAAAGUGGACGUAUACGGUGUGACGCCUGCCCGGUGCUGGAAGGUUAAUUGAUGGGGUCAGCCGCAAGGCGAAGCUCUUGAUCGAAGCCCCAGUAAACGGCGGCCGUAACUAUAACGGUCCUAAGGUAGCGAAAUUCCUUGUCGGGUAAGUUCCGACCUGCACGAAUGGCGUAAUGAUGGCCAGGCUGUCUCCACCCGAGACUCAGUGAAAUUGAACUCGCUGUGAAGAUGCAGUGUACCCGCGGCAAGACGGAAAGACCCCGUGAACCUUUACUAUAGCUUGACACUGAACAUUGAGCCUUGAUGUGUAGGAUAGGUGGGAGGCUUUGAAGCGUGGACGCCAGUCUGCGUGGAGCCAUCCUUGAAAUACCACCCUUUAAUGUUUGAUGUUCUAACUCGGCCCCAUAAUCUGGGGUGAGGACAGUGUCUGGUGGGUAGUUUGACUGGGGCGGUCUCCUCCCAAAGAGUAACGGAGGAGCACGAAGGUUAGCUAAUCACGGUCGGACAUCGUGAGGUUAGUGCAAAGGCAUAAGCUAGCUUGACUGCGAGAGUGACGGCUCGAGCAGGUACGAAAGUAGGUCUUAGUGAUCCGGUGGUUCUGAAUGGAAGGGCCAUCGCUCAACGGAUAAAAGGUACUCCGGGGAUAACAGGCUGAUACCGCCCAAGAGUUCAUAUCGACGGCGGUGUUUGGCACCUCGAUGUCGGCUCAUCACAUCCUGGGGCUGAAGUAGGUCCCAAGGGUAUGGCUGUUCGCCAUUUAAAGUGGUACGCGAGCUGGGUUUAGAACGUCGUGAGACAGUUCGGUCCCUAUCUGCCGUGGGCGUUGGAAGAUUGAGAGGGGUUGCUCCUAGUACGAGAGGACCGGAGUGAACGCACCACUGGUGUUCGGGUUGUCAUGCCAAUGGCAUUGCCCGGUAGCUAAGUGCGGAAAAGAUAAGCGCUGAAAGCAUCUAAGCGCGAAACUUGCCUCAAGAUGAGUCUUCCCUGGGCCUUUAAGGCCCCUGAAGGAACGUUUAAGACUAAGACGUUGAUAGGCUGGGUGUGUAAGUGCAGCGAUGCAUUGAGCUAACCAGUACUAAUGAUCCGUGAGGCUUAACC